rnacentral:rRNA from 1 species
GAUGAACGCUAGCUACAGGCUUAACACAUGCAAGUCGAGGGGAAACGACAUCGAAAGCUUGCUUUUGAUGGGCGUCGACCGGCGCACGGGUGAGUAACGCGUAUCCAACCUGCCCACCACUUGGGGAUAACCUUGCGAAAGUAAGACUAAUACCCGAUGAUAUCUCUAGACGACAUCUGAAAGGGAUUAAAGAUUUAUCGGUGAUGGAUGGGGAUGCGUCUGAUUAGCUUGUUGGCGGGGUAACGGCCCACCAAGGCAACGAUCAGUAGGGGUUCUGAGAGGAAGGUCCCCCCACAUUGGAACUGAGACACGGUCCAAACUCCUACGGGAGGCAGCAGUGAGGAAUAUUGGUCAAUGGGCGAGAGCCUGAACCAGCCAAGUAGCGUGCAGGACGACGGCCCUAUGGGUUGUAAACUGCUUUUAUAGGGGAAUAAAGUGAGCCACGUGUGGCUUUUUGCAUGUACCCUAUGAAUAAGGACCGGCUAAUUCCGUG